AUUGAACGCUGGCGGCAGGCCUAACACAUGCAAGUCGAGCGGAUGAAGGGAGCUUGCUCCUGGAUUCAGCGGCGGACGGGUGAGUAAUGCCUAGGAAUCUGCCUGGUAGUGGGGGAUAACGUCGGGAAACGGGCGCUAAUACCGCAUACGUCCUGAGGGAGAAAGUGGGGGAUCUUCGGACCUCACGCUAUCAGAUGAGCCUAGGUCGGAUUAGCUAGUUGGUGGGGUAACUGCCUACCAAGGCGACGAUCCGUAACUGGUCUGAGAGGAUGAUCAGGCACACCGGAACUGAGACACGGUCCAGACUCCUACGGGAGGCAGCAGUUGGGAAUACUGGACGAUGCGCUAAAGCCUGAUCCAGCCAUGCCGCGUGUGUGAAGAAGGUCUUCGGAUUGUAAAGCGCUUUAAGUUGGGAGGAAGGGCAGUAAGUUAAUACCUUGCUGUUUUGACGUUACCAGCAGAAUAAGCACCGGCUAACUUCGUG
rnacentral:rRNA from 1 species